GUUUGGUUGUAGUAAUUGGUGUUUCUCCUCUCUGCUUUGCUGCUCUUUGUCUCCGUUAAUGUAUUUUAAAGUUUGCGUGUAAACAGCUGUGGUAUUCACAUGCUGUUUGAACAGAGAGAGACAUAAUUCUCUCAGGAUUUUUCCUGGGGAAGGCAAUGAGAAAGCUCAGAGAGAGAAGAGAAAGCAAUUUUUAUCUCUACUUGCUGCUCCUGUUUGGCACAUGUGGAAUGUGUUCUGGAGAUUGUUUAUCAGAAGGGGUUUGUUAAUGGACUCUGGUGAUGGUUGUUUGGAUUGAUAGACCAAUUAGGUCAAAGCUGUGUCGUGACUGUCUGAAAGGGUCGUGAGUUUUUAUUUGUCUGAUAGAGUUUUAGUAUAGUAGUACUGUAGAAUACGAUAAUAUGUAGUCUUACAUAGUAUAGCUUGAUAAAGCAAUUGUUCAGCCUUCUGAAUAAUGGAGUCAGAGCAUGUUACUCCUCGUGUCAGGGGUGCCAUCCAUCGAUAAACAAUUUUCUAUCUAUUUUUUAAAAACGUGCUGGAUUUAGAUUUCUUGUGGGCAGCGUCGAAGUCUGUUGCGAAGGCUGUUUCUGUGUCUAUGUAAAACCAUUUUUUGGUAUACUUGCCAAUGAAAAUAUUUCCAGUUGUUUGUGUUUUCAUUCAGGAACCUCCUUCCACAGAAAAUCAGCAGUGUCUGUAACUCUUCCACUCUCCAAUUACAAAGAAAGAAAGAAAAGGCUGACUGUCGAAAUAUUUCAAUCUUGCCAGUCCAAAAUCUGUGUUGCCCUCUGAAUUUCCAGGGUCACUGCCUGAUCUAGGCACUUAAAAUUUGCCAAAAUAUUACAGAAUACUUGUCCAGUGAUAAACUGAGUCUGUUUAUAGGCAGGAAAGCUUUGGAGAACACAUCGAAAAUACAUAGCAGCAAUAUCUAUACAAAUGAUAAAUCUGACAUUAAGAAGACUACAAGAUGUCUGGAAUUCCCUAGACAUGUAUUUCUCUUGCUGUCUCAUAAUUCUGUCUUGGGAAACUGUGAGGAAGGUCUGUGUUUUUCUGAGUCUUAAUAUUUAGAAGGAAUAUAUGGGUAGCUAUAUAUGUUUGAAAAGUCUAGACAAGUCCUCUUUGCAUAUAUUCUCUGUGAACCAAAGUAAGGACUUACUCUUCAUGCAGGUACAGUUUCCCAUGGAUUCCAUUUAUGAUGGGAGCUUUAAAUAGCAAACGUGUAUGUACUUCAGUCUGAAAAAUCUGGGGCAGAAAUAGGUAAAUCAUAAAUACUUCCCAUGAUAAUCAGUAGGCUUGGUUUCCUGCUUUAGCCCAAAGAUUUUCCCUACUUUUUUCAGUUCACUAUCUUUUCAUUGUACAAACUUGUUUUUUUUUUUAAAAUUAAGAAGCAGGUGGUUUUAUCUGCAUCUUAGAGUUUCUGGCAUGACCUUGGCAUUCAUUUAGAAGUAUUUUAGGAAAAAUCAGACACCUAUUUCACUCUAAAAUUCUGCUUCCAUGUCUUUCGCUGAUCAGCUCUCCUUUUGAUCUUUCCACCUCCCUCAUCACUAUACCUCUCUUUCAAUGCCUCUCAUUUCCCUUCCUGCUUUUCUACUUCAAGAAGAAAAAGACACUUUUCAGACUCUUCAGUUCUUGAUUUGCCUGAUCACUCCGCCAUUUCAGCUUUUUUGCCUUAGGACUGCAUCUGUAAGACCUAUUGUUUCAAAGUGCUCUAUGACUUAGUUCUUGUCAGCACCUAAUGCUAUCUUACCCUGUGCUUGCUUUCAAUCUUUUCGUUUAUUGCUUUGCUCCAGCAAAGACUAGCAGUAAGUCUUCCUACCAUCUCUAUUCUCAUCAGUCCUUUCUCUUACGUGAGUUAUUGCCUGCUGAAUAAGAUAGAUAAUUGGAAUCGGGGAAUGUUUCUCAUCUUGUGAUUUUGCAGAGCACCAUGUACACUUUAAUAACAAAACUGUUGAUGGGCACUGUGACUAUCAAUACUGUCUACAUAUGAAAUGGAAAAUAGCAAAGCUACCAGCAAGUUUCUGCUCCAAAUUGUAUUGGAAGGCUCUCCCAGGCUUUAAAUUUUGGUGACCCUUCCUGUGGCAUCUUUCCCUAGUAGUUGAGCAUGUAGAUUGUUUUCUGAACUUCUCCCAAUAGCUCAUGUACUGUUGAGAAUACCUUUCUCUUAGAUAGCACUUGUUUAGAAAGGAGAUCCUGCAUUAGAUGACUAAUGAAAAGAUGAAACAAAGAAUCAGAAGAAAACCAGCAUCCUUUGAAGUGCACACAAUGGCAGAACUUUUGAACUCCACUGUCACUGUUGGCUUGGUGUGCAGAAGAGGGAUAGCUUGGAGAAUCCACCUUUUCAGAGGUUCUUACCAGAAAGGUCAGGAGAGGCUACUGCUCAUGUUAUAAAUGUAGACGAGCCUUGAGAAAGUGUGCCUCAGGCCACUGAAGCUUUUUGUACUGCACUUAAUGCAUAGGAGAGAUGAGAGGAAGCCAUGUCAGUGAGAUUGAUAGCAAGCUAAUGUAAUAAAAAUGGAGAAGAACGAGACAGGAGAUCUCAUCACUAUCCCUGCAGACCAAACUUCAUGUUUCAAGCCACAAGUUGAGCCAAUCCAGAAGGGAGACCUGAACCCAGGAUUGCCAGUGCCCACUGGUCUGCUCUAGUAACUCUUUCUUCUUGAGUGAUGGAAUGUCUCCAUUCAGUGCAUCAAGUACAACAUGGAUGCCAUACCCGAUUUUGGGGAGGGAGGCUUUAGGCUGGCUCAGCUUCCUCCCUCGGAUCGCGUGUCAUGAGUGACCGCUCCCUGCCUCAGCCACAGGCCGGCAGAAAGGCAGCGGUUCAGCCCGGGACGGGAUGCUGUAUCUCCACCGCGGACUGGUGUUAUGAAAUGUCCAGGGUUGCAGUGAAGGAAACAAGGAGGGACCUUGUUUGCGUCUCCAAGCAGCCUUUAUUCUGUCCCUGAGGGGGAGAUGAUGAUACAGAGGCACAAAGGAAUAACUCUGAAGCAAAGCAGUGCCAAAGGAACCCAGAACAGUGCAAUGCUGCAGCUUAUAAAGGGAGGAGGUCUCUGGGGAGACCUCAAAACCAGUAAGGGGAUUGAGGGGAGGAGAACACUCUCACAUAACCAAUAAGGAUCUAAGGAUCCCAUGACAGACACAGAGGGUUCUGGAAAUGGGUAGGGAUUACAAUGACUGGUAGGGAGAAAGGGCAGGGUUACAAUGACAGACACAGAAGGAGCUGGGAUAAGGGGUAGGUACUUGGGAUACCAGAUCAGGAGAUGGGAGGAAAUGCUUCUGGGCAAAACCAACAGUGGGGUCCAUUCGGGCAAACUAUCAUAGAAGACUUUGAAUAAAAUAUGACAGUAACGUGAAGAAAUAUUACUUUAAAAAGGCACUACCACACAACAAGAUGCCAGAGGAGUGCAUGCAGCUGGCAUUCCUUCAUCGCUUCCUGAACAACCUUGAGAAGAAAGCAAUAAAAUGUUUAUGAUAUAUGAGCUUUCUUACUGGGACUUCUGAGUUUUCGUAAACCCAAUAGUGUGUUGACAAAAGGAAUCUCUGCUAAAGGCAUUCCUUAUUUCAAAUGAUCACAGAUCUGUCUGAGAUCUCACUUUCUGAAUGGUCACAUUUUUCUGUUACAUGCAGAGCUUCUGAGAGGUGAAAACAGAGUAAGUGUUAGGAGAAUGUAAUACACCUAAAGACAUAAAACACAUCCUUGUACUGUGUUUCUGAAAUACCAUGGUUCAGCAGUAUUUUUCAAUCUACAUGGAGUGAACCAUGCAAAAUUCAUGGUGGCCUGCAUUUUGAACUAAGAGUUUACCUCUCUUUUGAUUAAACUGAGAUUCUCGCAAUUGUCUCCUUUAGUUUCAAAUACAGGAUCUUUGUUUUUAACCCUACCUUAUUGAGUGAAGUAGUAUUUCUGGUACUUGUACUUCUAAACAAGAGUCCAGAAUAAUAUUUAAUAAUUUAGUAAUUCAGCAUUUAUUUCUUACACACAUCUUUAUUCUGUGGUAAAUCCCAGAGGCUGCAACUGAAAUCGGGGCCAAAUUUUAUUUAACACUGUGCAGGUUUUAAAGGCAAUAUCUGCUUGGAAGAACUUACUAUUUUCAUGGAUGUGAAUUCAGAGUUAACUUCUAGAGCUGAUCAUAUAGCCUGGGCAAAGGUGACAUGAAUUGUUGAUGUCCUGAUGUUGUUGUGGCAGUGGAUUGUCUAUGCUCAGGCUUCAUUUGCAAGAAAAUUCUGUCUGUUUUAAAAGCUAGACUUCAGAGUUCUGACAUGACUUAUUUUCUGUUUUUAUAGCCCGGUAUCUUUGUAUAUAGGGACAUUUUUGGAGUAAUUGUGUGGAAGAUGUAAACACUUUUGACCCUUGAUUUGUGCAGAGGCCUCUCUGGACUAAAGUGAUAUUGCUCUUAUGGCACAGUCUAGAAUUGGAAUAUAACAAUAUUUAGCAUUCAAUAAUGAACCAACCAUGCUUAACAGUCAGAUAAUAUUUUAUUUUCUAUUAAAGUUUACGACUCUUAAAAUUAAAAUAGCUCUCAUGGUGAUAGUUUGGCUAUUAUUAUUAUUAUUAUUAUUAUUAUUAUUAUUAUUAUUAUUAUUAUUAUUAUUAUUUCAUUUAUUUACUGUUUUAUACCUCUGUUGUUUCACAAAAUUCACAAUGGCUUACUGCGUCACUGCAGACAGUUUUGCAAGCAAAGGUGCUUACUUGUCUGUUACUUGCAUUCUGUUAAAUAUUUCUUAUUCCUUCAGACUGCGCUACAAGGACCAUUUCACUGUCCCCUUUGGCUUCUGCAUCUUGCUUCCAGCAUGAGCAGACAGCAGUCAUCACACUGUAAUAAUUUUCUCCUGGUUCACCUGUGGUCUCUAUGAAUAACAGAGUGGGGUAAAAAAAAGAAAAGAAAAGAAGAUGAGUUUGGCUUAGAGUCUGAUGAUCACAGUGUGGAGCUACUUUUUAUGCCUGGCAGAGGAGAAAUGCCUUUUAGAGAGAGAACUAAAAGCAAAGAAAAAAAAUCUCAUAAUUUCAGGAUCAUAAUGUCUUCAAAAGAAAUUUGCAUGUGCAAGGAGGAGACAACAUGGCUUUCUGAUGGCUUUCCUACCGCUAAACACAUGUAAUUUAUGGUGAUGUCAUCAUUGCCAUUGAAAUAUAAUUGUGAUAUAAAUAAUGAGGAAGCUGCCAACAUCAUCCUGUUGAACUGAACCAUUCUUCUCAUUCUUUCUCAGUCAUCAAUGCUUAGGUGAAGACAUCUUUCUAUUCAUAAGAGUGAUGUAACAGAAAUUUUUACAAUUUUUUUUCUCUGAGUGCAUGGCAACUAUAACUAGCUAAAGAAAUUAUGGAUAACAUUUUAAGGAAAAUUAUUGUAUUUAUUAUAAAGCAAAAAAAAUAAAACUCUCAAAAUUUGUCAUAUUUUACCAAGGUUUUUUUAAAAUUUUUCAGAUAAUGUUAAUGGGGUUUUUUUAAUGCUCCAAGGGUAAAACAGAAUGACUCAUGCUAUAAAAAACAAUGUCUAUCAAAAACCAUACAUCCACCAAAAUUUUUUUUUUCAUAAUUUCAAAUGAAAUUUUGAAUUUUAUUGUGCUCUAGGCCCCCAAAACUAGGCCCCCAAAACUCUCUAGGCCCCCAAAACUCUCUAGGCCCCCAAAACUAUCAGAAAGUUCCAGUUUAAUAGUUUAAACUAUUAAACUGGGACUUUCAUUGUUGCUCAUCUUCACUCUUGAGUGACCAUGGCCAAUGGGAUAAAAUGAGGAAGAGGUAUAGGCAUGAAAAAAUCAUUCCUCAUUUCUCUAAUAUCUGGUUGUUUUAUUGUCUGUUGACCAUCACUGUAGACUACAGAAGUCACUGAAAUAUUCACAAUGUUGUUGGGCUAACUAUAUUUUGCCUGACUGUUUGAAUUGCUCAGAGUUACUAUGACUUUUGAUUCAUUCUCUUUCUCCAGCUAUGCAUGUUGUAGGAAGGUAAUGUAAAGCACUGGUGUUUUCCCAUCAAUUCUUUAUCCUUAUGUACAUUUUUGAACAACAACAGAUUAUACAGACAAUUCAUUUUAAUAGACACUGAGAGUGAUUUUUGAGAGUUUUGGCUGAUUACAGUAUGAUGACAAGGGAGGACUGACAGGAAGCACUGUUCAAGGACUCUUAAAAUGAAGGAAGGACUGCAGGCAAGGAAUGAUGAAAACAGAAAGUAACUCAAACAGGAAAAUCACCACUUCUUGUGCAACAGAAAUUAUUUUAUGUAAAAUGACUAAAGCCAAGUUCUGAGGAGGAGAAGAAACUGAGUCUCUCUUAGAAGGUCUAAUGAAAUGUGUAAAAUUAUUUCCUUUUAGCUUUACACAUUGGAUACUCAGAUUUUGUGCUGUUUUAUUUAUGUUUUUUAUAAUGUGAUUUAUGUUCUGUAGCCAUGCGGCAAGUAACUUUUUGUUUAAAGGGUUUUAACUCUAUAAAGGGAAAAUUGGAUACAUCAAAUGAACUCUGUAAUCAAUAAACUGGAGACUAGUUGUUGCCAGGUGUAAAUUACAUGCAGAAUUUGA